CUCCAGGUAGCAGUCGUACAGCUCCUGAGCUCAGUCGUCAUCUUGUAUUAUCCAGUAACACAUGCCAUUAGCUUCACCAGCAGCCCCAAAAGGUCAAUGGGGUUACUUAUACGUGUGCUGAAUUAUGGCCUAAAAGAACAUGGCAAUGAUAAACGAGCCAUGUGCGGGGGCACAGGGGAUUCAAGAGGAAAGGGACGCAGCACUGGAGAGAAUGGCCCUUCUGGCCUGAAAACUGCUGACUCUGUGUUUGUACUUGUUGAUGUAAAUGGGGGGAGAGAUGCAAUAUUUGAAGAUUUGAAGGCAGAAUUUAACAUUUGGAGUGGUUUGCAGGUCUUGUAAUCCUGGCUUAAUGGGAAAACCAC